UACGAAGGGGGCUAGCGUUGUUCGGAGUCACUGGGCGUAAAGCGCACGUAGGCGGAUGUGCCAGUCAGGGGUGAAAUCCCGGAGCUCAACUUCGGAACUGCCUCUGAUACAGCACGUCUUGAGUCCGGAAGAGGUGGGUGGAAUUCCUAGUGUAGAGGUGAAAUUCGUAGAUAUUAGGAAGAACACCGGUGGCGAAGGCGGCCCACUGGUCCGGUACUGACGCUGAGGUGCGAAAGCGUGGGGAGCAAACAGG
rnacentral:rRNA from 1 species